rnacentral:misc_RNA from 1 species
CGCACCUUGCACCCUUUGGCAUUCCGAAGGGUACAUCUGUUUGAGUGUCAUGAAUACCUCAAUCCUUUGAUUUUUCGAGAUCGAAGCGGUUGGAUGCUGAGCGUCUUUGCUGCUCCACAAGCAGCUCGCUCCAAAUGCAUAAGCAAUCUCUGUACCACUCGGAUUGACCCAAUGUGAUAAUCACAACUUCAUUGGGGAUGCCCUCGAGGCAGCCGAUCUUAUAGCGUAGCUUCAAACCCUUUAAACCACUACUUUAGACCUCAAAUCAGAUGGGACUACCCGCUGAACUUAA